rnacentral:misc_RNA from 1 species
GAUGAAGAACGUAGCGAAAUGCGAUAAGUAAUGUGAAUUGCAGAAUUCAGUGAAUCAUCGAAUCUUUGAACGCAUAUUGCGCCCUCUGGUAUUCCGGAGGGCAUGCCUGUCCGAGCGUCAUUACUAUCUUCAAGCACGGCUUGGUUGUUGAGCCAAUUGUCCUUUUAAUGGACAGGCUUAAAAUCCAGUGGCGAUGCGGAGUCCUGGUGCCCGAGCGUAUGGGGCUUCGUCACCCGCUCGUGUAGGCCCGGCCGGCGCUUGCCGACACAUCAAUCUUUUUUCCAGGUUGACCUCGGAUCAGGUAGGGAUACCCGCUGAACUUAAGCAUAUCAAUAAGCGGAGGA